rnacentral:rRNA from 1 species
GUAAGACCCCUUGAAGACGACGAGGUAGAUAGGUUGGAGGUGGAAGUGCAGCAAUGCAUGGAGCUGACCAAUACUAAUCGGUCGAGGGCUUAUCCUA